rnacentral:lncRNA from 1 species
GUUCAAGAACUUUCUUAUUCCCUCUGAUUGGUGGGGGGGAUGGCCCUUGAACUCACUUUUGACGGUUGCGAGUCGAUGUUGUUGCCUGAUACUGCGGAUAUCUCGGGCAAGCUCUUCUUCGUGCUUUCUAUUGGCUUCCCGUCGUUGCUCUUCAGUUAAGGAUUUGUCGAUGUAUUGGGAGAUCACGAUUUUUGCUUGUCUUUGGUCU